rnacentral:rRNA from 1 species
UACGGGGGGGGCAAGCGUUGUUCGGAAUUAUUGGGCGUAAAGGGCGCGUAGGCGGUGCGGCAAGUCUCCUGUGAAAUCUCCGGGCUCAACUCGGAGUCUGCAGGAGAAACUGCCGUGCUUGAGUGUGGGAGAGGUGAGUGGAAUUCCCGGUGUAGCGGUGAAAUGCGUAGAUAUCGAGAGGAACACCAGUGGCGAAGGCGGCUCACUGGGCACCACCUGACGCUGAGGCGCGAAAGCGUGGGGAGCGAACCGG